UACAGAGGUGGCAAGCGUUGUUCGGAAUUACUGGGCGUAAAGCGCACGUAGGCGGGUUUGUAAGUAGGGGGUGAAAUCCCAGGGCUCAACCCUGGAACUGCCUUCUAGACUGCAAGCCUGGAGGUCAGGAGAGGCGAGUGGAAUACCGAGUGUAGAGGUGAAAUUCGUAGAUAUUCGGUGGAACACCAGUGGCGAAGGCGACUCGCUGGACUGAUACUGACGCUGAGGUGCGAAAGCGUGGGGAGCAAACGGG
rnacentral:rRNA from 1 species